rnacentral:rRNA from 1 species
UACGAAGGGGGCUAGCGUUGCUCGGAAUCACUGGGCGUAAAGGGCGCGUAGGCGGGUUUUUAAGUCAGAGGUGAAAUCCUGGAGCUCAACUCCAGAACUGCCUUUGAUACUGGGAAUCUUGAGUAUGGAAGAGGUGAGUGGAACUGCGAGUGUAGAGGUGAAAUUCGUAGAUAUUCGCAAGAACACCAGUGGCGAAGGCGGCUCACUGGUCCAUAACUGACGCUGAGGCACGAAAGCGUGGGGAGCGAACCGG